AGCUUAGCAGCUAGCUAUUGCUCUCUAGCUUGCUAUUGCCCUGUAAUGCCCCACAUGUUACUCAAAAUAUGUAUUAUAUUUUUUGUAAUGGGCGUCACUAUUGGCCAGUCCUGAAUAUCACCUUUGAAAAGCCAUGUUUGCCGAUAUUGUGAGAAAAGGUUCACCUCUGUUUUUCAACUUGACAGAUGGUUACCCCCUGUGCUAGUGGAAGAUGUGACUUUGAAGACAGUCAUUGUAAAAGGUUAAUGCAGAGUUCCUGUGCCUGACAGAUACUUGAGGAAGCAUCUUGGAGGUUGUCAAGGAGAAGGGAGGCGUUGCCAGAAGGAAGGACUGGAGUGGCGAAGUGAUCCAAAGGCAGACUGCACAUCUACGUAUAUGGUUUUCAAGGAACAUCCCGUGCCAGAGACUGUGAUACAAGGCAUGGAGCUGUACAGUGAACUCGGAGCAUCUCUUGUGCAUGUGUGAUGCUGUUUGGACUCGGUUACCGGUAUAUACCCUUAAUCUCAACUCUGUGGAUUUGGAUUUACAAUUUUAAGUAUCCAGAUGAACUGAAAUAUAUGUUCUGGUGAAUUUGGAAAAUAUGCCCAAAAGGUCCAAUCACUAUAAACUACAGUAAAUAUGUUGGACACUGGCAAUCUCAGGUUCUAAGCCAUUGUAUAAAAGGACAAUCCAUCGCAUUUCUAUUAAUACUUUUGUGUGCUGUUCUCUGAUCUGAGUUGAUGAUUUUUUUUGUCCUUUUUUGUCUUUUGUCAGCAUGGCAUUGAGUAUCAUUGAGGGGCUUUUUUCUAAACAUUGGCUAUGCAGAUUAAAAGAUGAGCACUAUAAGGAAAGGCGUAAUAACGCCUCAGUAGCACUUCAUGGACACAUUGAUAUCAUAAUUAAAAACAUUUCUCUCUCCCUCUCCUCCCCCACUUUGAGAAAGAAUCAAAGAGUCAAAAGUGCUCCUGCGGGCAGUUGGUUAAUUCUAAAAUGUCCAUUCACAAAUAACAUCUUUUUCAUGAAUGUCUAAGUAAAUAAGUGAGUAAAUAGACACAUACUGUUCUGAUGAGAGUAUGCUUUUCGGCCAAAGAUAUCUGACUGCAUAUCUGGCCCAAGCGAUUAUGACAUUACUUAGAAUUUGAUGGUGGUUGUAAGCAUUCAUGAAAAAGAUGACAUUUCUGAACAGGCCACAUUAAUUAAUGUGUUACAGUACACUGAUAAUUUCAGGUUUUCUGUUUAAUUUCUGUUUAAUCAUACGAUUAUAUUGUCAAGAUUUUGGUGUUUUAUUAUCGUUUGACUGCAUGUUUGUCCAGCUGAUGAAAUAUUAAUAAAAGAAAUGUUUUGAA